UCCAGACUCCUACGGGAGGCAGCAGUGGGGGAUAUUGCACAAUGGGGGAAACCCUGAUGCAGCGACGCCGCGUGGGUGAAGAAGCGCCUCGGCGCGUAAAGCCCUGUCAGCAGGGAAGAAAAUGACGGUACCUGACCAAGAAGCCCCGGCUAACUACGUGCCAGCAGCCGCGGUAAUACGUAGGGGGCAAGCGUUAUCCGGAUUCACUGGGUGUAAAGGGAGCGUAGACGGCCAUGCAAGCCUGGAGUGAAAGCCCGGGGCCCAACCCCGGGACUGCUCUGGGAACUGUGCGGCUGGAGUGCGGGAGGGGCAGGCGGAAUUCCUGGUGUAGCGGUGAAAUGCGUAGAUAUCAGGAGGAACACCGGUGGCGAAGGCGGCCUGCUGGACUGCAACUGACGUUGAGGCCCGAAAGCGUGGGGAGCAAACAGGAUUAGAUACCCUUGUA
rnacentral:rRNA from 1 species